rnacentral:tRNA from 1 species
AGGGGUAUAGCUCAUUGGUAGAUUGUGUGCUUAGCAUGCACAAGGUCCUGGGUUCAAUUUCCAGUACCUCCA